UACGGAAGGCAGCAGUGGGGAAUAUUGCACAAUGGGCGCAAGCCUGAUGCAGCCAUGCCGCGUGUAUGAAGAAGGCCUUCGGGUUGUAAAGUACUUUCAGUCGUGAGGAAGGUGUUAAGGUUAAUAACCUUAGCAAUUGACGUUAGCGACAGAAGAAGCACCGGCUAACUCCGUGCCAGCAGCCGCGGUAAUACGGAGGGUGCGAGCGUUAAUCGGAAUUACUGGGCGUAAAGGGCACGCAGGCGGUUAAUUAAGUUGGAUGUGAAAUCCCCGGGCUUAACCUGGGAAUGGCAUUCAAGACUGGUUAGCUAGAGUCUUGUAGAGGGGGUAGAAUUCCAUGUGUAGCGGUGAAAUGCGUAGAGAUGUGGAGGAAUACCGGUGGCGAAGGCGGCCCCUGGACAAAGACUGACGCUCAUGUGCGAAAGCGUGGGGAGCAAACGAGGAUUAGAUACC
rnacentral:rRNA from 1 species